GCCUCUAUAGCUCAGUGGUAGAGCGCUUGACGUAAGCAACCCCGAUUCUACUGGCCAAUUCGAAUAUUUACUAACAAAUCAUCAGUUGUACCUUGAUAUGAGAUCAAGAGGUCCGUGGUUCAAUCCCGCGUGGAGGCA